UGAUCCUGGCUCAGGAUUACGCUAGCGACGUGCCUAAGGUAUGCAAGUCGAAUGCCGAUUUAUCGGCAUGGCAGACGGCUGAGUAACACAUGGGAAUCUACCUCAGACUCGAGAAUAGCCCAUCGAAAGGUGGUGUAAUACUCGAUAGUUCCGUUUACGGUAAAGCUCCGGCGGUUUGAGAUGAGCCCAUGUCCUAUCAGGUUGUUGGUGGGGUAAUUGCCUACCAAGCCUAUGACGGGUAGCUGGUUUGAGAGGAUGAUCAGCCAGACUGGGACUGCGAUACGGCCCAGACUCCUACGGGAGGCAGCAACUAGGAAUCAUGCGCAAUGGACGAAAGUCUGACGCUGCGACGUCGCGUGAGGGAUGAAGGUCUUCGGAUCGUAAACCUCUUUUAUCUGGGAACAAGUUCUGAGUGUACCAGAUGAAUAAGUGCCUGCCAACCACGUGCCAGAAGCAUCGGUAAUGCGUGGGGCACGAGCGUUAUCCGGAUUUACUGGGCGUAAAGAGAUGCGUAGGCGCCUUUUUAAGUCACUUGUAAAAUCUCCCGCUCAACGGGGAAACUGCAAGUGAUACUGAAUUGGUUGAGUCAAGUAGAGGAGAGGGGAAUUCCUGGUGGAGCGGUUAAAUGCGUUGAUAUCAGGAGGAAUACCAAGUGCGAAGGCACCUCUCUGGACUUGUACUGACGCUAAGGCUCGAAAGUGUGGGGAGCAAAACGGAUUAGAUACCCGUGUAGUCCACACUGUAAACGAUCCCUGCUAGAUGUUUGC
rnacentral:rRNA from 1 species